rnacentral:rRNA from 1 species
CAAUAGCGUAUAUUAAAGUUGUUGCAGUUAAAAAGCUCGUAGUUGGAUUUGUGGCGUACGGUGUGUUCUGGGCACUUGUUGUCUGAGUAACCUGCUGUUGCCAUCCUUGGGUGGAACCUGUGUGGCAUUAGGUUGUCGUGCAGGGGAUGCCCAUCAUUUACUGUGAAAAAAUUAGAGUGUUCAAAGCAGGCUUAUGCCGUUGAAUAUAUUAGCAUGGAAUAAUGAGAUAGGACUUUUUUGCUAUUUUGUUGGUUUGCGCAAAGAGGUAAUGAUUAAUAGGGACAGUUGGGGGUAUUCGUAUUCCAUUGUCAGAGGUGAAAUUCUUGGAUUUUUGGAAGACGAACUACUGCGAAAGCAUUUACCAAGGAUGUUUUCAUUAA